rnacentral:rRNA from 1 species
CAGCGCCACAAGUGGGGGUCGCGAUUAUUGGGCCUAAAGCGUCCGUAGCCGGUUUUGUAAAUCUUUUGUGAAAUCGUUGGGCUUAACCUAACGGUGUGCAGAAGACACUGCAAAACUCGAGACCGGAAGGGGCUAGAAGUAUUCUGUGGGGAGCGGUAAAAUGCUAUAAUCCAUGGAGGACUAUCUAUGGCGAAGGCAUCUAGCCAGUACGGAUCUGACGGUGAGGGACGAAAGCCAGGGGAGCGAACCGGAUUAGAUACCCGAGUAGUCC